rnacentral:sRNA from 1 species
GAGACGGCUUAUAGGGUUGGUUGGAAGGUUUGAAAUUAAUUUUCAUCCUGUAACAUAGCUGUAAUUGUACUAUAUGGCAUACUUCUGUUCAAUAAAGAACCUGGAGCACUUAAGAGCCCUGCUGAAGAGCUAUAACAUGCAAAGGGCUUACUUGGCUAAUUGCAGGGGAAAAAAAAAAAAAGAAAAUAUACUCUCUGUAUCUGCUCAUGAUCUAUUACCUUUCUUGCCAAAGCUGUGCCCUUUAAAUGUCAAUGGCAUAUUGACAGACUAACAUACUUCAUUUCUUUGCUUGACUCAGGUGAUGCCUGGACUUACUGCAUCAGUAAAAAUGAAUGGAUACAAUUUAAUCAUCCAUAUACUGAAAAACCAAGGUUAUGGCACACAGCUUGUGCCAGCGAUGAAGGAGAAGUGAUUGUUUUUGGUGGAUGUGCCAACAACUUGCUUGUCCAUCACAGAGCUGCACACAGUAAUGAAAUACUAAUAUUUUCAGUUCAACCAAAAUCUCUUGUACGGCUAAGCUUAGAAGCAGUCAUUUGCUUUAAAGAAAUGUUAGCCAACUCAUGGAACUGCCUUCCAAAACACUUACUUCACAGUGUUAAUC